GGUGAACAGACCAUGAUGAAAGAUUCUACUCCUGCAGUGAAUCUCCCCCCUGGUUGUCCUGGAUUCCUCUACUAAGAAUCUCCAUGCUGCUGUGGCUUGAGGCCCUAAACCAGACGUGUCAGAACCAUCUGGUUUGGUGUGGAGAUACUGGUGCAGAUCCACCCCUGGCUGGGUUUAUGUUUUCACCACAGCUUCAUGGAUGCAGGAACCUUUCAAAUAUGGGAGAACAAAACCACAGUGACCGCAUUAAUGAGCCACAGGUGCAUUCUGGGGCAGAAUAAUCCCCGCACUUUCACAGGGGGGCUGGGUAGUCCACCCCAGCUCCCCAAACCUUGGAUAUGUGUGAAACAUUGCAUCAUUUCUUUUGCACUCCAUGAUGCCUGGAUGAAUUGUUCACUGAAGGAUAUAGAAUGUCAUGGAUGAGGAUGUUUAAAUUUGUAGUUUAAUCUGUGAGGCAAUGGCUGCACUACAGGGCAGAAUAAUCCCUGCACCAUUUUGGGGGGGUUGGGUAGUCCACCCCAGCUCCCCAAAAUUAUGUUAAUUUUAUGGAAAUUAUGUUCUUUUCUGUGUCUGAGUACAGGAAUUUAUUGUGAUAUGCAUUUAAUCAAGGAAGUAGAUUUGAAAGUAGACAGGAAAUGUUUAUUAUCAUGUAUAAUUCCAGCUGUAUUUGUGAGGCGAUGGCUGCACUACAGGGCAGAAUAAUCCCUGCACCAUAGCAGAGGAGUUGGGCAGUCCACCCCAGCUCCCCAAAACACAGGAGUCUUCUCAGAUGUGCAGCAGAGGAUCGGACAUUGCUGUUGGCCUUGAGGACACUAUGGAGAGGGAUUCAUCUACUGAAAGCCAGACACAGACUGCAGUACUGGAGCAAUAAGACUGUGAGGUGAACAGACCAUGAUGAAAGAUUCUACUCCUGCAGUGAAUCUCCCUGGUUGUCCUGGAUUCCUCUACUAAGAAUCUCCAUGCUGCUGUGGCUUGAGGCCCUAAACCAGACGUGUCAGAACCAUCUGGUUUGGUGUGGAGAUACUGGUGCAGAUCCACCCCUGGCUGGGUUUAUGUUUUCACCACAGCUUCAUGGAUGCAGGAACCUUUCAAAUAUGGGAGAACAAAACCACAGUGGCUGCAUUAAUGAGCCACAGGUGCAUUCUGGGGCAGAAUAAUCCCCGCACUUUCACAGGGGGGCUGGGUAGUCCACCCCAGCUCCCCAAACCUUGGAUAUGUGUGAAACAUUGCAUCAUUUAUUUUGCACUUUAAGAUGCCUGGAUGAAUUGUUCACUGAAGGAUAUAGAAUGUCAUGGAAGCAGGAUGUUUAAAUUUGUAGUUGAAUCUGUGAGGCAAUGGAUGCACUACAGGGCACAAUAAUCCCUGCACCAUUGCUGGGGAGUUGGGUAGUCCACCCCAGCUCCCCAAAAUGAUGUAGAUUUUACGGAAAUUACGUUAUUUUCUGUGUCCGAAUACAGGAAUUUAUAGUGAUAUGCAUUUAAUCGAGGAGGUAGAUUUGAAGGUAGACAGGAAAUGUUUAUUAUCAUGUAUAAUUCCAGCUGUAUUUGUGAGGCAAUGGCUGCACUACAGGGCAGAAUAAUCCCUGCACCAUUGCUGGGGAGUUGGGCAGUCCACCCCAGCUCCCCAAAACGGUGGAUACCCUUGAAUACGGGAUUAUU